GACGAACGCUGGCGGCGCGCCUAACACAUGCAAGUCGAACGAGCGAGAGAGAGCUUGCUUUCUCGAGCGAGUGGCGAACGGGUGAGUAACGCGUGAGGAACCUGCCUCAAAGAGGGGGACAACAGUUGGAAACGACUGCUAAUACCGCAUAAGCCCACGACCCGGCAUCGGGUAGAGGGAAAAGGAGCAAUCCGCUUUGAGAUGGCCUCGCGUCCGAUUAGCUAGUUGGUGAGGUAAAGGCCCACCAAGGCGACGAUCGGUAGCCGGACUGAGAGGUUGAACGGCCACAUUGGGACUGAGACACGGCCCAGACUCCUACGGGAGGCAGCAGUGGGGAAUAUUGCACAAUGGGGGAAACCCUGAUGCAGCGACGCCGCGUGGAGGAAGAAGGUCUUCGGGAUUGUAAACUCCUGUUGUUGAGGAAGAUAAAUGACGGUACUCAACAAGGAAGUGACGGCUAACUACGUG
rnacentral:rRNA from 1 species